rnacentral:rRNA from 1 species
UUAAGCGACUAAGCGUACACGGUGGAUGCCCUGGCAGUCAGAGGCGAUGAAGGACGUGCUAAUCUGCGAAAAGCGUCGGUAAGGUGAUAUGAACCGUUAUAGCCGGCGAUGUCCGAAUGGGGAAACCCAGUGCAAUUCGUUGCACUAUCGUUAACUGAAUACAUAGGUUAACGAGGCGAACCGGGGGAACUGAAACAUCUAAGUACCCCGAGGAAAAGAAAUCAACCGAGAUUCCCCCAGUAGCGGCGAGCGAACGGGGAGCAGCCCAGAGUCUGAAUCAGCUUGUGUGUUAGUGGAACGGUCUGGAAAGUCCGACGCUACAGGGUGAUAGUCCCGUACACCAAAAUGCACAGGCUGUGAACUCGAAGAGUAGGGCGGGACACGUGGUAUCCUGUCUGAAUAUGGGGGGACCAUCCUCCAAGGCUAAAUACUCCUGACUGACCGAUAGUGAACCAGUACCGUGAGGGAAAGGCGAAAAGAACCCCGGCGAGGGGAGUGAAAAAGAACCUGAAACCGUGUACGUACAAGCAGUGGGAGCACCUUCGGGUGUGACUGCGUACCUUUUGUAUAAUGGGUCAGCGACUUAUAUUCUGUAGCAAGGUUAACCGUAUAGGGGAGCCGCAGGGAAACCGAGUCUUAACUGGGCGUUAAGUUGCAGGGUAUAGACCCGAAACCCGGUGAUCUAGCCAUGGGCAGGUUGAAGGUUGGGUAACACUAACUGGAGGACCGAACCGACUAAUGUUGAAAAAUUAGCGGAUGACUUGUGGCUGGGGGUGAAAGGCCAAUCAAACCGGGAGAUAGCUGGUUCUCCCCGAAAGCUAUUUAGGUAGCGCCUCGUGAAUUCAUCUUCGGGGGUAGAGCACUGUUUCGGCUAGGGGGUCAUCCCGACUUACCAACCCGAUGCAAACUACGAAUACCGAAGAAUGUUAUCACGGGAGACACACGGCGGGUGCUAACGUCCGUCGUGAAGAGGGAAACAACCCAGACCGCCAGCUAAGGUCCCAAAGUCAUGGUUAAGUGGGAAACGAUGUGGGAAGGCACAGACAGCCAGGAUGUUGGCUUAGAAGCAGCCAUCAUUUAAAGAAAGCGUAAUAGCUCACUGGUCGAGUCGGCCUGCGCGGAAGAUGUAACGGGGCUAAACCAUGCACCGAAGCUGCGGCAGCGACACUAUGUGUUGUUGGGUAGGGGAGCGUUCUGUAAGCCUGCGAAGGUGACCUGUGAGGGUUGCUGGAGGUAUCAGAAGUGCGAAUGCUGACAUAAGUAACGAUAAAGCGGGUGAAAAGCCCGCUCGCCGGAAGACCAAGGGUUCCUGUCCAACGUUAAUCGGGGCAGGGUAAGUCGACCCCUAAGGCGAGGCCGAAAGGCGUAGUCGAUGGGAAACAGGUUAAUAUUCCUGUACUUGGUGUUACUGCGAAGGGGGGACGGAGAAGGCUAUGUUAGCCGGGCGACGGUUGUCCCGGUUUAAGCAUGUAGGCUGGUUAUCCAGGCAAAUCCGGAUAAUCAAGGCUGAGGUGUGAUGACGAGGCACUACGGUGCUGAAGUAACAAAUGCCCUGCUUCCAGGAAAAGCCUCUAAGCAUCAGGUAACAUCAAAUCGUACCCCAAACCGACACAGGUGGUCAGGUAGAGAAUACCAAGGCGCUUGAGAGAACUCGGGUGAAGGAACUAGGCAAAAUGGUGCCGUAACUUCGGGAGAAGGCACGCUGGUGUGUAGGUGAAGCCCCUGCGGAUGGAGCUGAGACCAGUCGAAGAUACCAGCUGGCUGCAACUGUUUAUUAAAAACACAGCACUGUGCAAACACGAAAGUGGACGUAUACGGUGUGACGCCUGCCCGGUGCCGGAAGGUUAAUUGAUGGGGUUAUCCGUAAGGAGAAGCUCUUGAUCGAAGCCCCGGUAAACGGCGGCCGUAACUAUAACGGUCCUAAGGUAGCGAAAUUCCUUGUCGGGUAAGUUCCGACCUGCACGAAUGGCGUAAUGAUGGCCAGGCUGUCUCCACCCGAGACUCAGUGAAAUUGAACUCGCUGUGAAGAUGCAGUGUACCCGCGGCAAGACGGAAAGACCCCGUGAACCUUUACUAUAGCUUGACACUGAACAUUGAGCCUUGAUGUGUAGGAUAGGUGGGAGGCUUUGAAGCGUGGACGCCAGUCUGCGUGGAGCCAACCUUGAAAUACCACCCUUUAAUGUUUGAUGUUCUAACGUUGGCCCCU